rnacentral:misc_RNA from 1 species
AACCAUUCUCACCUGCGGCUAGACCUGCGGAGGGAUCAUUACCACAACAAAAAACAUACAUCCCUUUUGUGUGACUGAGUGUUUACCAUUUCUUCGGAAGUGGUCUACUUAUCUAACCACAAAAACCAUAACCUCUGAGCUUUUCGAAAAGACCUAUGUCUUUUUGAACAAGAUUAAAUUGCUUACAACUUUCAACAACGGAUCU